GUGUAAGCAGCAGCAGGACCUGCUGUCCUUCCUAGCUGUGGUCCUGGGGCUGGACAACCCUGCAGUCAGCCGCCUUCGCCUCACCUGGGAGGGCCUCCCUGGGAAGUUCAGGAAGCAGUUCCAGCAGUUUGAGAGCAUUGCGGAUCCAUCCAGGAACCACAAGUCAUACAGAGACCUGAUGUGCAGCCUCAGACCCCCCUCAUCCC